CUUGGAGUCUUGGAGAGAUUGGUUUGUCAGACUCAGGACCUUCACACCAUCACCAUCAUCAUCAACACUUUCCAUACUCUGUUUUUCCAGCCUUUAAUCCUCCCAACACAGGCUUCAUUAAUCAAGAAGGACCAUCUUUUGAUUUUGGGGAGCUAGAAGAAGCAAUUGUUCUUCAAGGAUACAACUCACGGUGAUGAGACUAAAUUACGUAUGAUUUUGAUUCCUACUCUUUCUGGCGUUUGAUAAAGCAUAACAAACUUUACCCACAAGAACACACACUAGUGUGAGAGAAAAACAGAGAACCAAAACUCCAAAAGUGUGAUUUACUGAUUUAUGAAUUUUGUUGUCUUUUUGUGCAUCUUUUUUUUUUGGAUUUUUUGAUGAUAAUCCUAAAAGAUAUUCUUCAUUAUGAUCUUUAUACACAACAGUGCGGCCAAGGCCAGCUACUACACUGGACAUGUUCCCUUCUUGGCCUAUGAGAAUUCAUCAAACCUCAAGUCGUGAUUUACUGAAUGGAAUUCCAAUGGCCAAUUUGGGGGUUUUUCUUGGAGAAGAUGAUGGAAAUUUAGGGGUUUUGUGGUGUAAAUGAAUAUUAAUUUGUUUUUAAUAUGUGUCACUAAAAGGGGAGGGGAAAUUACCAUAUUAGACAUCAUGUGCCUAUCAUGUGAGUUAUAAUUAACCAGAGUUUGGAGUUUGGUUAGACUCAGGGGCCAAAAUAGUUAGUUAUAG